UUCGAGUGGCGGACGGGUGAGUAACGCGUGGGUAACCUGCCUUACACAGGGGGAUAACACCUGGAAACAGGUGCUAAUACCGCAUAAGCGCACAGGGCCGCAUGGCCCGGUGUGAAGAACUCCGGUGGUGUAAGAUGGACCCGCGUCUGAUUAGCUUGUUGGCGGGGUAGGGGCCCACCAAGGCGACGAUCAGUAGCCGGCCUGAGAGGGUGGACGGCCACAUUGGGACUGAGACACGGCCCAAACUCCUACGGGAGGCAGCAG
rnacentral:rRNA from 1 species